rnacentral:tRNA from 1 species
UGCCGGGUCGUCUAACCGGUAAGACAGCGGGUUUUGACCCCGUUAAUGUGUUUUAGUUCGAGUCCCACCCCGGCAA